rnacentral:rRNA from 1 species
GGGGCUACCGGGCUUUAACUCUCAACCCCUGUGACAUACCUUAAUGUUGCCUCGGCGGAUCAGCCCGCGCCCCGUAAAACGGGACGGCCCGCCAGAGGACCCAAACUCUAAUGUUUCUUAUUGUAACUUCUGAGUAAAACAAACAAAUAAAUCAAAACUUUCAACAACGGAUCUCUUGGUUCUGGCAUCGAUGAAGAACGCAGCAAAAUGCGAUAAGUAAUGUGAAUUGCAGAAUUCAGUGAAUCAUCGAAUCUUUGAACGCACAUUGCGCCCGCUGGUAUUCCGGCGGGCAUGCCUGUUCGAGCGUCAUUUCAACCCUCAAGCCCCCGGGUUUGGUGUUGGGGAUCGGCUCUGCCUUCUGGCGGUGCCGCCCCCGAAAUACAUUGGCGGUCUCGCUGCAGCCUCCAUUGCGUAGUAGCUAACACCUCGCAACUGGAACGCGGCGCGGCCAUGCCGUAAAACCCCAACUUCUGAAUGUUGACCUCGGAUCAGGUAGGAAUACCCGCUGAACUUAAGCAUAUCAUAGCGGGGAGGGAA